rnacentral:lncRNA from 1 species
UGCGUGCCUUUAAUCUCAGAGGAGGCAGAGACAGGUUGAUUUUUUUUUUUUUUUUUCAGAUUGAUCUCUUAGUUCGAAGCCAGCUUGAUCUACGUAGUGAGUUCCAAGCCAGGUGGAGCUAUAUACACACGAGGCUAUCUCAAAAAACAAAAUAAGAAAUCAAAACCAGCCAAGCAAAUACCCAUAUCAUAAUACUAUAAAAAUAUUAAGGGUCCUAGUCAUUAAUAUUCACUAGUUUACCACUUCAAGAGACUUUGGUAUCUGGGCUUGUUGAAGAACCGAAAAUGGCUCUUAUGACAUCAGGCUCAGUAGCUUUGACUAAAUGUUGGCCACUUCCUAGCCUGGUGACUUCUGCCAGUUAACUUCGUGAAGCCCGGGGUUCCUUAUUUAUAAAAUCUUCUUAGCACCUAUCUCAUUUGGUUGUGAAGAUCACACAAGAUAAUUCUGGUGCAGUGCUUGGCAUGAAACUGUCCUAAUCCCACUAGCUAUAAAAUUGCAACCGGUUCCCAAAAUCCAGUGUUCAUAAACUUCUGGCCUGAGAGCAUGCUCAGAACUGCGUUUCCAGCGUACACACCCUCCGCCCCGGGGCCAGUUUCUCCUGACCGGCUUGUCCUUAAACUUAGCGUUCAUCAAAUGCCACAGGUCAGGCUCUGUGACGAGAUACUUGCGUAAAAUUGCACAUUAAACUUCCUAACGCCUCCACAGUGGCUGAUGUAGCGCGAGGAAACAGGCCCGGAGGGUUCCAGCAACUUCCCCAGGUCCCCGAGCCUGGGUUCCAGGCCCAUGUUGGAGUCUACCAGCGUCCAUUCAAAUGCUGUCCAGUCCCUCGACUCUGCCCGUCCAUCGCCAUCGCCCUCUGCACCUCAGGGUCGGUCUCGGGGCAGUUUUUCUCUUUUCUCCUCCAGAGCCUGAGGGGUGAGGCCCGCGAUGGCGUCCCGGGCACGCGCCAAAAGCAGCUAGCCCAGAGCGCGCGGAUAAGCGCCCGGGGCGAUGCGGGGUCUCCGGGCCGCAGCGCCUAGUC